rnacentral:tRNA from 1 species
GGUGGCUCAGUGGAAGAGCACUUGCCUUGCAUACAUGAGGCCCUGGGUUCAAUUCCUCAGCACCA